CAGUUCCUGCUUGGCUUUUCUCCAAGACCUGCGGCCUGAAAAGCCGCCGUUGCUGACUCAACCACAGGAAC
rnacentral:tRNA from 2 species